GUGGGGAAUCUUUCGCAAUGGGCGAAAGCCUGACGCAGCCAUGCCGCGUGAAUGAUGAAGGUCUUAGGAUUGUAAAAUUCUUUCACCGGGGACGAUAAUGACGGUACCCGGAGAAGAAGCCCCGGCUAACUUCGUGCCAGCAGCCGCGGUAAUACGAAGGGGGCUAGCGUUGCUCGGAAUUACUGGGCGUAAAGGGCGCGUAGGCGGAUCGUUAAGUCAGGGGUGAAAUCCCAGAGCUCAACUCUGGAACUGCCCUUGAUACUGGCGAUCUUGAGUGUGAGAGAGGUAUGUGGAACUCCGAGUGUAGAGGUGAAAUUCGUAGAUAUUCGGAAGAACACCAGUGGCGAAGGCGACAUACUGGCUCAUUACUGACGCUGAGGCGCGAAAGCGUGGGGAGCAAACAGGAUUAGAAACCCCGGUAGUCC
rnacentral:rRNA from 1 species